CCUACGGGGGGCAGCAGUGGGGGAUAUUGCACAAUGGGGGAAACCCUGAUGCAGAGACGCCGCGUGGGUGAAGGAGCGUUUCGGCGCGUAAAGCCCUAUCGGCAGGGAAGAAGGAGGACGGUACCUGACUAAGAAGCCCCGGCUAACUACGUGCCAGCAGCCGCGGGAAUACGUAGGGGGCAAGCGUUACCCGGAUUGACUGGGUGUAAAGGGGGCGCAGACGGGAGCGCAGGCCAGGAGUGAAAGCCCGGGGCCCAACCCCGGGACUGCUCUUGAAACUGGGCGGCUGGAGUGCCGGAGGGGCAGGCGGAAUUCCUGGUGUAGCGGUGAAAUGCGUAGAUAUCAGGAGGAACACCAGUGGCGAAGGCGGCCUGCUGGACUGCGACUGACGUUGAGGCCCGAAAGCGUGGGGAGCAAACAGGAUUAGAUACCAUAGUAGUC
rnacentral:rRNA from 1 species